GUCAUAAGGGUGCAAAUAUCUCUUUUGCCGUACCUCACUGUUCAUUGAGGUAUUUAGGCCUCUUCCAGCUGCCUUUUUUAAUUUUUAUUAUUACUAUUUUUUAAUUGGAACAAGGAUGGCUGAGGGUGAAAAGAAGAAAAGAGAAGGUGAGGGAGCAACAGGGGGGAAGGUGUGGUAUGAAAGGGCAGAAUACACAUUUUACAGCUGGGAGAGGCAAAGAAGUUUCCCUGAAAGCAAGCAAAAGCUCAGGAAAAGAGGAAGGAAAGUGGAAAGGAGCCAGGUGAGAGCCAGGUGAAAGAAGUUUAAGAAACACUAAUUAGUUAACGCUUGUAAAGGGUCUCUGAGAGUACAAAGCUAUAGCUGUAUGCUAAUCUACUAAUUAUUAUUUUGUGGAGUGUCUUGGUUUAUGCAAUCAUGUAUAUUAAUCGCAGCUGACUUGUCAAUAGCAAUGAAUGAUGGGAGCAUAAUACAAAAAUUAAGCAGCAGUUAAGGUCAAGCUCUUUUGUUUUCCUGGAGUAGAAAGCAGUUUUCUCAAGGCUUAUUUUGAAUUUUUUGGAAGAAGUCCUGUUCAAAUGGAGCGAGCUCUUCCCCUGAGUGUCCCCAGUGUGGCCCCUGGCCCGGCACAGAGAAGGCUGGUGCUGUGCUACAUUUGCUCCCUUGGACAACCAGGUGACCCCGUCCAAGGUUAAGCAUGAAUCCCCGAGGAAGAGCUAUGCACUAUGCUCCACAACAGGAGCAACGCCUCUCUGUGACUUGAGUGAAGGAAGCAACAUUGAUGGAUAGAAGAGGAGGAGAAAGCGAGAUGCUCAUCGAGCCCAGCUGAUGCAUAUAGGUUCAUUUAUAUCUUGUCCAUAAACAUACGAAGUACUAGAAGAGACCCCUGGGAAGCCAGUGACACUAAUGGAAAAGUUAAGUGUGAGACUGUACAGCUGGACUUAGAUGCCUUUUAUUCAGAGUUGUUAUUAGUUUAGACAAAGCAAUCUAGAGCUGUCAGGGCUGCAACCUCUGUACUCACCUCUGUAAAUUUUCAUGGAUUCUAUCACCUUAAUAACAGGAAUUAAAAUCUGGUUGUUUGUCUUA